UACGGAGGGAGCUAGCGUUGUUCGGAAUUACUGGGCGUAAAGCGUACGUAGGCGGUUACUCAAGUCAGAGGUGAAAGCCCGGGGCUCAACCCCGGAACUGCCUUUGAAACUAGGUAACUAGAAUCUUGGAGAGGUCAGUGGAAUUCCGAGUGUAGAGGUGAAAUUCGUAGAUAUUCGGAAGAACACCAGUGGCGAAGGCGACUGACUGGACAAGUAUUGACGCUGAGGUACGAAAGCGUGGGGAGCAAACAGG
rnacentral:rRNA from 1 species